ACAUGCUCCUGCGGCCGUUGGCACUGGGUCCUUUCGACCUCAUCUUAUCCUGGACCGGCCCUGACUGCAGGACAGGAAGAUAACGACUGUUAGAGUUUCUACAGAUACUUAGUCAUUUUCAUAUCAAAAGGCAGGUCAUAACCUCUUCAUGAUAACAUAUGGAUGGAGAGGCAGGAUCCGAAGCCAGAAUUAGAACUAUGAUUUCAUGUGUUGUUUCUAUACUGUAUCAUUUUAUGUAACAUAUUUAACAGUCCGUUUCUGUGGUGUUCAUAUGAAACAUGAUCCCAUUUGGACUGACAACAUUUGAUCCAUUUGGCCAGCAGCAUUACUCAUAACCUACGUCUUUACAUAAUGAUGAGUGACCAUAUGAUGGGGAUGGAGUGAGGAGGAAUGGGACUUGCUUUAGGCUGUGGGUUUUUUUCUCCUUUACUUUUUAACGGCGCAGUUCAGAGUUGGAUGAAUGCACAGGUGUGGAUCAAUCAUUCUGACGUCAGGCGUUGCAGAAACGGCAUGUGCUUGACGAACACUACAAUAACUACAGUCUGACAGCUAUGGGUCAUAACAGAACAAUGGACAUUAGAGGGUUACGCAAUAGCAGCUGAGGAAAUGGAAUUAUGUAACACGUUUCAGUAACAUACUCCUCACCUGACUGUUCUCAGCCCACCUCCUGAUACAAUGUGGAAAUGUGUCAUUUCAUUCAAAAGAUCUGGUGACUUUCACAACUGGAGGUCAUGAUCACGAUGGAACAGUCAUUUAGCAGAGCGACACAGUAGUCCAUACAUUUCAGUCAUUUAGCAGAGCGACACAGUAGUCCACACAUUUCAGUCAUUUAGCAGAGCGACAGUAGUCCAUACAUUUCAGUCAUUUAGCAGAGUGACAGUAGUCCAUACAUUUCAGUCAUUUAGCAGAGCGACAGUAGUCCAUACAUUUCAGUCAUUUAGCAGAGUGACAGUAGUCCAUACAUUUCAGUCAUUUAGCAGAGUGACAGUAGUCCAUACAUUUCAGUCAUUUAGCAGAGCGACACAGUAGUCCAUACAUUUCAGUCAUUUAGCAGAGCGACACAGUAGUCCACACAUUUCAGUCAUUUAGCAGAGCGACACAGUAGUCCACACAUUUCAGUCAUUUAGCAGAGCGACAGUAGUCCAUACAUUUCAGUCAUUUAGCAGAGUGACAGUAGUCCAUACAUUUCAGUCAUUUAGCAGAGCAACAGUAGUCCAUACAUUUCAGUCAUUUAGCAGAGCGACAGUAGUCCAUACAUUUCAGUCAUUUAGCAGAGCGACAGUAUAGUCCAUACAUUUCAGUCAUUUAGCAGAGCGACACAGUAGUCCAUACAUUUCAGUCAUUUAGCAGAGUGACAGUAGUCCAUACAUUUCAGUCAUUUAGCAGAGUGACAGUAGUCCAUACAUUUCAGUCAUUUAGCAGAGUGACAGUAGUCCAUACAUUUCAGUCAUUUAGCAGAGUGACACAGUAGUCCAUACAUUUUAGUACUGAUAUCAACAUCAUGUAAUGCAUUGAGAAAUGGACUAUCACUCAAUUUAACCUACUUUCCAUACAGUGGAACCUACUUUCCAUACAGCUGUAUACAGUGAUUUAAACAGUGACCAGACUAGUGAUUGGCCAGUGUUCUGAUAGUACUGUAUACACUUUAUCCAUCAUAGCGUAACAGGUUUCAAACUAAAGUUAAUAUCCAUAUCCUACUAAUAGGUGAACGAAUUGAGAAACAUUUCCUCCUCUCAUUCCCUGUCCAAUGUGACUGUAUUCCAUGGGAAUACCAGGCCAACAUUUCCCAGCGUUUCUACAUUUCCUCCUCUCAUUCCCUGUCCAAUGUGACUGUAUUCCAUGGGAAACCAGGCCAACAUUCCUAGCGGCAGGUUGGAAGCUGCAAAGCCCAGCCCAUGUACUGAGGAGUAACACACACACACACACACACACACA
rnacentral:lncRNA from 1 species